rnacentral:tRNA from 1 species
UGCCCGGUAGUGUAAUGGUAACACUGCUGAUUUUGGUUCAGCCAUUCAUGGUUCGAGUCCAUGCCGGGUAG